rnacentral:rRNA from 1 species
CCUACGGGAGGCAGCAGUGGGGAAUUUUGCACAAUGGGCGGAACCCUGAUGCAGCUAUUCCGCGUGUAGGAUGAAGGUUUUCGGAUUGUAAACUACUUUUGUACGGGACGAAGAAAGUGAAGGUACCGAAAGAAUAAGCCACGGCUAACUAAGUGCCAGGAGCCGCGGUAAUACGUAGGUGGCAAGCGUGAUCCGGAUUUGCUGGGGGGAAAGGGCGAGGAGGCGGGGUUGCAAGUCAGAUGUGAAAACUAUGGGCGAAACCGGUAGAGUGCAUUUGAAACUGCAGUUCUUGAGUGAUGGAGAGGCAGGCGGAAUUCCCGGUGUAGCGGUGGAAUGCGUAGAUAUCGGGAGGAACACCAGUGGCGAAGGCGGCCUGCUGGACAUUAACUGACGCUGAGGCGCGAAAGCGUGGGGAGCAAACAGGAUUAGACACCCGAGUAGUC